rnacentral:rRNA from 1 species
GAUGAACGCUGGCGGCGUGCCUAAUACAUGCAAGUCGAGCGAACAGACGCGGAGCUUGCUCCUCUGACGUUAGCGGCGGACGGGUGAGUAACACGUGGAUAACCUACCUAUAAGACUGGGAUAACUUCGGGAAACCGGAGCUAAUACCGGAUAAUCUAUUGAACCGCAUGGUUCAAUAGUGAAAGACGGUUUUGCUGUCACUUCUAGAUGGAUCCGCGCUGCAUUAGCUAGUUGGUAAGGUAACGGCUUACCAAGGCAACGAUGCGUAGCCGACCUGAGAGGGUGAUCGGCCACACUGGAACUGAGACACGGUCCAGACUCCUACGGGAGGCAGCAGUAGGGAAUCGUCCGCAAUGGGCGAAAGCCUGACGGAGCAACGCCGCGUGAGUGAUGAAGGUCUUCGGAUCGUAAAACUCUGUUAUUAGGGAAGAACAAAUGUGUAAGUAACUAUGCACGUCUUGACGGUACCUAAUCAGAAAGCCACGGCUAACUACGUG